rnacentral:rRNA from 1 species
GACGAGCGCUGGCGGCGUGCCUAAUACAUGCAAGUAGAACGCUGAAGGAGGAGCUUGCUCUUCUGGAUGAGUUGCGAACGGGUGAGUAACGCGUAGGUAACCUGCCUGGUAGCGGGGGAUAACUAUUGGAAACGAUAGCUAAUACCGCAUAACAGUAGAUGUUGCAUGACAUUUGCUUAAAAGGUGCAAUUGCACCACUACCAGAUGGACCUGCGUUGUAUUAGCUAGUUGGUGGGGUAACGGCUCACCAAGGCGACGAUACAUAGCCGACCUGAGAGGGUGAUCGGCCACACUGGGACUGAGACACGGCCCAGACUCCUACGGGAGGCAGCAGUAGGGAAUCUUCGGCAAUGGACGGAAGUCUGACCGAGCAACGCCGCGUGAGUGAAGAAGGUUUUCGGAUCGUAAAGCUCUGUUGUAAGAGAAGAACGAGUGUGAGAGUGGAAAGUUCACACUGUGACGGUAUCUUACCAGAAAGGGACGGCUAACUACGUG